rnacentral:rRNA from 1 species
AUUGAACGCUGGCGGCAGGCCUAACACAUGCAAGUCGAACGAGUGGCGGACGGGUGAGUAAUGUGUGGGAAUCUGCCCGAUAGAGGGGGAUAACUACUGGAAACGGUGGCUAAUACCUCAUACUAUCUGAUGUACCCAUAUGGGAUUAGCUAGUAGGUGGGGUAAUGGCUCACCUAGGCGACGAUCCCUAGCUGGUCUGAGAGGAUGAUCAGCCACACUGGAACUGAGACACGGUCCAGACUCCUACGGGAGGCAGCAGUGGGGAAUAUUGCACAAUGGGCGCAAGCCUGAUGCAGCCAUGCCGCGUGUAUGAAGAAGGCCUUAGGGUUGUAAAGUACUUUCAGCGGGGAGGCGUUACCCGCAGAAGAAGCACCGGCUAACUCCGUGCCAGCAGCCGCGGUAAUAC